AAUUAUGUCUUUGGUUAUGAGUUUUGAAUAGUAAUGAUUCUGUUUUGAAUUGAGUUUUGAGAAAUGGGUGUAGAAUUAUGAUUUGAAAGUUCAAAACAAAACCACACUCAAAUCAAUUGGUAAAACUAUAAUUUGAGAGGCUUACCAAACGUGGAUUUCACUGACAAAUUCUCCUUGCAAAAUAUGGAGCCAAAAUUUUCCAAAAGUGGAUUUCACUGACAAAUUCUCCUUGCAAAAUAUGGAGCCAAAAUUUUUCAAAAGUGGAUUUCGCUGACAAAUUCUCCUUGCAAAAUAUGGAGCCAAAAUUUUCCAAAAGUGGAUUUCACUAACAAAUUCUCCUUGCAAAAUCUUAUCCAUCAACGUAUAACUAUUCAAUUUUGUGAUCGAUUUUUGUUUUCUUAAGCUUACUCUUGCAAAUAGGUUGCUUUGCUCUAAUGUAGAAGAACAACGUUCCGUAAUGUUAGAUUUUCUUGUUGAUAUGCUUAGAGUUGUUGACUAUAGAGUUCAUGGCAAUUGAUAGAGAGUUAAUGAGCAUUUUAAUGGAAUAAGAUUUGGACAUAAGGCUCGGAUAAAAUGAAAUUACAAGAGGUGGGCCAAAGUUUAGAUUCAAAAUAGGGCUCUCAGCAAAUUCAUAAGUAAAAAUUCAGAGUGGCCAAUCUGAAGGGCCCAACCCAAAACGAGGAAUUCGAGAUCCAGAACAAACUCUUCUUCUCUUAGUCAGCCAUAUUAGAACUCGAGAGCAGCGACUCAAGCUCAGCUAGCGAUCAUCAGCGAAGACUCGAACAGCCAUGUCCGCCGGUGAGUGCUUCCUCUCUCUUUCUUUAUCAGAUUUUAAUGGAAGAACAUAGUUGUUGCCCUAAUUUAAGCUCUAAUUGUGUGCCCUAAUUUUUGUGCAUUAAUGGAAUAAUCUCUAAUUUAUAUGCUUUAAUGGAAAUCUCUGAUCUUGCUGUGCUCUAGUUUCUGAAAACAUAUUAUUUGUCUCUGUUUUGGUUUGCUCAAAUUUGUGUGCCUUAAUGGAGUAGCCUCUAAUUUUUAUUUUUGUUUGUACCAUUUUACCCAAACUUUUGUUUUGAGGGUAAAUAUGUGAAAGGGCCCCUCUUAAGAGCUUGCCUAGGGCUUGUCUAAUCUAACUUGAAAAGGGUUAAUCAAACUUGAAAGGGGUUGUGUCCUGGGUUAUAAGAUAAAAAAAUAAACAGAACAAAAAAGUCACUCUUGGUUAUGUUGCUUAUGUAAUAUGUUAAUGAAUAAGCUAGUCGUGUGCUUGUUGCAAUGUAUAUGUUCAUGGAAUUCUUCUUCCUGUGGUGCCUUGUUUACGUGCCUAGAUUUUUGUUGAUAUGCCAACCUGUGUAAGUGAUUUUUUGGGGGUUUUUGAGAGAGGUUGUAAAUUGCUUUAACUGUGUGUGAACAUGGUUGGUAUAUAUCAUGUAGAAAUGAAAUCUUCUUCCUAAUUUUUAUUAUCUCAAAGUAUUUCUUUAUUUUGGGUUAGUAAAAUCUCUUUCUUCACAAUUU